rnacentral:rRNA from 1 species
GACGUAGGGCGCGAGCGUUGUCCGGAUUUAUUGGGCGUAAAGAGCUCGUAGGCGGCUUGUCGCGUCAACUGUGAAAACCCGUGGCUCAACCAUGUGGUCUGCAGUCGAUACGGGCAGGCUAGAAUUCGGUAGGGGAGACUGGAAUUCCUGGUGUAGCGGUGAAAUGCGCAGAUAUCAGGAGGAACACCGAUGGCGAAGGCAGGUCUCUGGGCCACUACUGACGCUGAGAAGCGAAAGCAUGGGGAGCGAACAGG